GGAACAAAAGUCAUAAUUAUACAUACAUACAUACAUAUGUGUAUAACAAAUUCUAAAUGCGCAUUUUUAGCGGUCUUUUUUCUCCGUUAUUCGCUGUUUCUUUGAAACGGAUUCACACACACAUAUGUACAUAUGUGUGACCAGAUCACUUCUCUUCGUAUUCAGCAUUGCACGGCGCGUGCCAUCAUUUCUAAGUCGCAGUUGUUGUGUCGUGUAGUGAAAAUUAAAGUUUAAUUGCUGAUGCCGCGAUCUCAUCAGAAACACAAAUCAAAGAUAGUGAAGUGCUAAAAUAAUUAAUCUGGAUCGCGAUUCUUACACGUUAUUGGGUGAAUAAUUCUGCAAUAAAUUUGUUUUAGGCUUUAUACCCACGCUUGAUAUAUAUAUGUAUGUACAUGUGUUGGUAUGCAUGUACAUAUAUAUGUAUGUGCAGCGUUCGUUUACCGCUUAAUUGGCGUUAGAUUUAGUUUGGAAGCCACUAGAAACGGUUAACGGACUCUGCACAUACAUGCAUAUAUUUGUAUGUAAGUGUGUGAGAAUAUUUAAAAACAAAUAUCUUCUAGAGUUAUUCACAUACAUAUUAACUGUGUAUUUUACCGCGAUCUAGUUUAACAUAAUUAACCCUCAAGAUAAAGAUCACGCCAAGAUUAAUUUUAAGCUUCGGAAGCAUAACUAUUUGUUAAGAAAAAAAAUCUAAUUUCAGAUACAAAUCGAUUUUAAUUUAAUGUUCCCUGGAAAGGAAAGGCGCAUUAGCUUCAAAAUGGGAAGCGUUUAAGAAGGAAAUACAACAGUACUAUGCGUAUAAUAUCCACAACGUGAACAGAAGGAAGCUGUUUAUGAAUUCCAAGAAUUCAGAGACUAUUGACUUUAUUUUGACUAACCUGCUCCCCUCAAUUUUACCGCCCAAUACAUGGUACUCUUCAAAAGCAUCAAAAACCAGAACUCCCUGGAAAGUCUAGUCCUUCAAGUGAACUCCAUUGCCGACUAUCGCCAAAGGAUUGCAGAAUCUGUCGGUAAAAACUAUUCGAAUUUAAAAACAGUUCAACCGUGUAUGUUUGUAAAAAGCCACAAAGCAAAUACGUUCUUUGAUAAACUAUAUAGGCCGUACUGUAUAUAAAUUUUGCUUAAAUAAAAUGAUUACAAAAAAAAAAUGUACAAUGUUUUUCUUAUGUUAAUAAACGGUUUUGAAUAAUUUAAAUGAAUAUACCCUGCAUUUGAUUUAAAUAUAAUA